UACGUAGGGUGCAAGCGUUGUCCGGAAUUAUUGGGCGUAAAGGGCUCGUAGGCGGUCUGUCACGUCGGGAGUGAAAACUCAGGGCUUAACCCUGAGCCUGCUUCCGAUACGGGCAGACUAGAGGUAUGCAGGGGAGAACGGAAUUCCUGGUGUAGCGGUGAAAUGCGCAGAUAUCAGGAGGAACACCGGUGGCGAAGGCGGGUCUCUGGACAGUUCCUGACGCUGAGGCACGAAGGCCAGGGGAGCAAACGGG
rnacentral:rRNA from 1 species